UGGGGCCUCCCAGGGGAGAUGAGUCUUGAGGUGGGCCAUGAAGAAUUGACUGGAUGUGAUACAGUGAAGAGUUGGAAAGGAAGUUAAAGGAAUCUUCAUGAGGAAAAGAAGAGAAGCAAGGACAGUAUGGGAAGUGAGCCAGGGAAGAAUCCAAAGGGCAGAUAGUUGUCUCUGACCCAGGCCUGGCCCAGGAGAUGGUGGGUGGGGAGGCCUGUGUCUACUGGGGGAGCCUGAGGUGAAGGUCUGGAGAAGGAAAUGGCAACCCACUCCAGUAUUCUUGCCUGGAGAAUCCCAUGGACAGAGGAGCCUGGCAGGCUACAGUCCAUGGGGUCACAAGGAGUCAGACACGACUGAGCAACUAAGCAGGGGGUGAAGGUCAGUGAUGCUGAGUCCCAGCAGAGAGGGCCCCAGACGCCAGGAGAAAUCAGAGGCUGCCAGAGGAGGCCCAGCCUGUGGUGGCCAGUGUCCGCUCUGAGGAGUGUCAGAGCCUCCUGAGUUCCUUAGCCAUCUCGAGGAAUCCAGGUUCUAUGCUCCUGUUUUGUCGGGAACGGCCCACAGUGAUUGGAGAAACCCCCACUGUUCAACGUCUCGCGCUGAACUUUGUGGCAUCUGGGAUUCCCUAAGGAUAAGGAGGAUGUGGGCUUCCACUGCCUUCACACCGUGGUCCUGCGCCUGGGCUGGGACGUCCCUGAAGCUUCCCUCCCUGUGGGCUGAGAGCUUCUGGAAACUGAAGAACGAAGUACCACGCUAUUUUACAGAAAACCAGAACCCCCCUGAGACUUGAUCAGUUAUGACAACUGAGGACGAGAGCAAAGAGCAAAUCCUUUUGAAAGGAUUUCUGCCUCAGUGGGAGGUGUAAGAAGCUGCUAGCCUGACUUUGCUUGCCUGCAGGACAGCUGGAAGCAGAUGUAAUGUUGAUACUUUCAAGUAAUUGCACUUACAACACAAUCUACUCUCUUCUGCAAGGAGUCUGUUGUGAUACUUUGAUUCUUAGACUAGAAAAGCUGUUUAAACAAAGUACUUUCCCUUCCAUGGUGAUUUAACUGUCUAACUAUGGGGAGAAAAAUAAAGCUUUCACAAACCUAGGUAACUUAAGCUCAAAAUCCUUUCAACACUUCAGGCAAUUCUCCAUUCCCUUCACCUUAAAUGAUUUUUGUCACUCUCAACAGGAGCAAGACUCCCUUUGACGCGGAGUUAAUAAAAAUUGUUAACUCAUUUUCUUCAGCUUGAUGCUACAAAUCAGCAAAUAGUUUAAGAAUGGUUUCACUAUGCCAAACUAAGUCUGUUUUUCUAUCUCCCAGUCCUCAGUUAUCUAUAUGCAUAAUCAUGAAGUAACUGGGUAUAACUAUCUUACUUACAUAAGUCAGGAGCGAUAUUUUAAAAAUAAAUUUGUGUGUGUGCUAAGUCGCUUCAGUCGU
rnacentral:lncRNA from 1 species